GACGAACGCUGGCGGCGUGCCUAAUACAUGCAAGUAGAACGCUGAAGAGAGGAGCUUGCUCUUCUUGGAUGAGUUGCGAACGGGUGAGUAACGCGUAGGUAACCUGCCUUGUAGCGGGGGAUAACUAUUGGAAACGAUAGCUAAUACCGCAUAACAAUGGAUGACACAUGUCAUUUAUUUGAAAGGGGCAAUUGCUCCACUACAAGAUGGACCUGCGUUGUAUUAGCUAGUAGGUGAGGUAAUGGCUCACCUAGGCGACGAUACAUAGCCGACCUGAGAGGGUGAUCGGCCACACUGGGACUGAGACACGGCCCAGACUCCUACGGGAGGCAGCAGUAGGGAAUCUUCGGCAAUGGGGGCAACCCUGACCGAGCAACGCCGCGUGAGUGAAGAAGGUUUUCGGAUCGUAAAGCUCUGUUGUAAGUCAAGAACGGGUGUGAGAGUGGAAAGUUCACACUGUGACGGUAGCUUACCAGAAAGGGACGGCUAACUACGUGCCAGCAGCCGCGGUAAUACGUAGGUCCCGAGCGUUGUCCGGAUUUAUUGGGCGUAAAGCGAGCGCAGGCGGUUUGAUAAGUCUGAAGUUAAAGGCUGUGGCUCAACCAUAGUUCGCUUUGGAAACUGUCAAACUUGAGUGCAGAAGGGGAGAGUGGAAUUCCAUGUGUAGCGGUGAAAUGCGUAGAUAUAUGGAGGAACACCGGUGGCGAAAGCUGCUCUCUGGUCUGUAACUGACGCUGAGGCUCGAAAGCGUGGGGAGCGAACAGGAUUAGAUACCCUGGUAGUCCACGCCGUAAACGAUGAGUGCUAGGUGUUGGAUCCUUUCCGGGAUUCAGUGCCGCAGCUAACGCAUUAAGCACUCCGCCUGGGGAGUACGACCGCAAGGUUGAAACUCAAAGGAAUUGACGGGGGCCCGCACAAGCGGUGGAGCAUGUGGUUUAAUUCGAAGCAACGCGAAGAACCUUACCAGGUCUUGACAUCCCGAUGCUAUUUCUAGAGAUAGAAAGUUACUUCGGUACAUCGGUGACAGGUGGUGCAUGGUUGUCGUCAGCUCGUGUCGUGAGAUGUUGGGUUAAGUCCCGCAACGAGCGCAACCCCUAUUGUUAGUUGCCAUCAUUCAGUUGGGCACUCUAGCGAGACUGCCGGUAAUAAACCGGAGGAAGGUGGGGAUGACGUCAAAUCAUCAUGCCCCUUAUGACCUGGGCUACACACGUGCUACAAUGGUUGGUACAACGAGUUGCGAGUCGGUGACGGCGAGCUAACCUCUUAAAGCCAAUCUCAGUUCGGAUUGUAGGCUGCAACUCGCCUACAUGAAGUCGGAAUCGCUAGUAAUCGCGGAUCAGCACGCCGCGGUGAAUACGUUCCCGGGCCU
rnacentral:rRNA from 1 species